GAUGAACGCUGGCGGCGUGCCUAACACAUGCAAGUCGAACGGAUGCUUAUUGGCGGAGGCUUCGGCCAAAGCCGGUAAGUUAUUAGUGGCGGACGGGUGAGUAACGCGUGGGUAAUCUGCCCUUUGCAGGGGAAUAACUGUGAGAAAUCACAGCUAAUACCGCAUAAGCCGGAAGCGCCGCAUGGCGCGGCCGGAAAAGAUUUAUCGGCAAAGGAGGAGCCCGCGUCUGAUUAGCUAGUUGGUGGGGUAACGGCCUACCAAGGCGACGAUCAGUAGCCGGCCUGAGAGGGUGAACGGCCACAUUGGGACUGAGACACGGCCCAAACGCCUACGGGGGGCAGCAGUGGGGGAUAUUGCACAAUGGGGGAAACCCUGAUGCAGCGACGCCGCGUGGGUGAAGACGGCCUUCGGGUUGUAAAGCCCUGUUGAGGGGGACGAUAAUGACGGUACCCCUUUAGAAAGCCACGGCUAACUACGUGCCAGCAGCCGCCGUAACAC
rnacentral:rRNA from 1 species